GUGAAUUUAGAAACAAAUCAGAAGAAAACAUGACGUCCACAGGAGAAAUACUUCUACCUCAAGAUAUAGAAGAUGCCAGAGAAAUAAGAGGAGCAAUAAAAACGAAGGGAAACUUACAAAUACUCCAGAAAGACAGUGAAGAAAUCGUAGAAUGUCCAAAGUGCCAUAACAAAUUCAAAUGUGGUCAAUGUAAUUCAAAACUUCUUAUCAUGCAAAACCUUAUGUCUAAAAGGGGGAGCUAUAACUUACAGAUUCGACAUGUCAUGGGUGUGUUGCAAGGACUGAUCAGCACCAAGAAUGAAU